GAUUCGAGUCCGAAUAUUCUUUAAUUCAUCCGUAUGACGAUGAAGACCUGUGGGAUGGGUAUUCGACAAUAAUUGACGAGAUCAAAAAACAGCUCAAUGGUAAAAUUCCAUCUUGCCUACUCCUUUCGGUAGGAGGUGGAGGAAUGCUACUCGGCUUCAUGACUGGAUUAAAGAGACAUGGAUGGGAAGAUAUUCCAAUCAUAGCUGUCGAAACUUUCGGAGCUCACUGUCUGAAUAAAUCAAUAAUAGCUGGGAAAAGCG